GAGUGUUUAGUAGAAUUUACUAUGUUCAAUUGCGGUUUGAGAGGUUUUACACUUU
rnacentral:tRNA from 1 species